GAUGAACGCUGGCGGCGUGCCUAAUACAUGCAAGUCGAGCGAACAGACGAGGAGCUUGCUCCUCUGAUGUUAGCGGCGGACGGGUGAGUAACACGUGGAUAACCUACCUAUAAGACUGGGAUAACUUCGGGAAACCGGAGCUAAUACUGGAUAACAUGUUGAACCGCAUGGUUCAACAGUGAAAGACGGUCUUGCUGUCACUUAUAGAUGGAUCCGCGCCGCAUUAGCCAGUUGGUAAGGUAACGGCUUACCAAGGCAACGAUGCGUAGCCGACCUGAGAGGGUGAUCGGCCACACUGGAACUGAGACACGGUCCAGACUCCUACGGGAGGCAGCAGUAGGGAAUCUUCCGCAAUGGGCGAAAGCCUGACGGAGCAACGCCGCGUGAGUGAAGAAGGUCUUCGGAUCGUAAAACUCUGUUAUUAGGGAAGAACAAAUGUGUAAGUAACUAUGCACGUCUUGACGGUACCUAAUCAGAAAGCUACGGCUAACUACGUG
rnacentral:rRNA from 1 species